rnacentral:rRNA from 1 species
GACGAACGCUGGCGGCGUGCUUAACACAUGCAAGUCGAACGGUGAAGCGCUUUCCUUUUUGGUUGGUGUGGAUGAGUGGCGAACGGGUGAGUAACACGUGAGUAACCUGCCCCCUUCUUCUGGAUAACCGCAUGAAAGUGUGGCUAAUACGGGAUAUUCUGCGCCUGCUGCAUGGUGGGUGUGGGAAAGAUUGUGCCUUUGGGUGUUUUCGGUGGGGGAUGGGCUCGCGGCGUAUCAGCUUGUUGGUGGGGUGAUGGCCUACCAAGGCGGUGACGGGUAGCCGACCUGAGAGGGUGGACGGUCACACUGGGACUGAGACACGGCCCAGACUCCUACGGGAGGCAGCAGUGGGGAAUAUUGCACAAUGGGCGCAAGCC